GGAGUCUGGGCCGUGUCUCAGUCCCAAUGUGGCCGUCCGCCCUCUCAGGCCGGCUACUGAUCGUUGCUUUGGUGGGCCGUUACCCCGCCAACUGGCUAAUCAGACGCGGAGCCAUCUCUUACCGAUAAAUCUUUUCACACUGUAUGAUGCCAUACCGUGCGCUUAUGCGGUAUUAUCAGCCGUUUCCAGCUGCUGUCCCCCAGUAAGAGGCAGGUUCUCCACGCGUUACUCACCCGUCCGCCACUAAGAAAAUGAAAAGAUUGGAAUCCUAGCAAGCUAAUCAUCCGCUCACAUCAUCUCUCCGUUCGACUUGCAUGUGUUAGGCACGCCGCCAGCGUUCAUC
rnacentral:rRNA from 1 species